UUUCAGAAAGGGAGCUCUCAAAACAGUGUGGCCAUUCUGCAAACAGUGUGCGCUUCAUGGAAGCCCGGCUGGCUUCACGCCUGCCUUUCUUCAGGCCACAAUGAUCCUAAUCAGCAAUGUCUUUGUGUCGUGAUGCAGAAAGUUGGCAAGUAUGCACAGGCGUAAUGCUGAAGGGCAACUUCUAAGUGGGGGAGGGGAUCGAGAAGGAAUCAAAGCCCUGCAUGGUGACUGCUACUCUCUGACAUUGGCUCAUUGCAAGAGUCCCCUCACUGCUUGUUGUCCUUCUGAAACUUCCAGAAACCAUGUGACUACCCAGAGACAUAGGUCAUAGGCCACAGGACAGAAGAUAUGGAAUAAUACUGUGAAAGAAAUACAUUUUUAAUCCACCAUGUAUAUGGCCCAGAAGUCCAGAACACCUUAAUAAAUGUGUAAUGAACUGCAUUUGACUAAAAAUGGAGAAAUGCAGCUGUUAACUAAUGGCUGUGAAGAUCCAUGAAGCCUCUAUUAAAUGCCAGAUGUCUUCUCUGAUAUGCGUGCUGUUCUGAGACGACGAUUAUGUCAUGUGGUGAGAAUUGUGCUGCCAGGAAAACUUGAAAAAACUGGAAAAUGGGCAUCGAGAGAGAAACUUGGACUGCAAAGAGCCACAGACCUUGUGAUUUCCCCCUGAAUAAUGGAAAUCUGACGUUCAAAAAUAUUUCCUUUGUAAUUUGGUGGCAGUUUUGUAGACUGUUCUGAAAAUGUAAAGUUUUUUUUUUAUAAACAAAAUGAU